CUACAGUCCAUAGGAUCGCACAGCGUAGGACACGACUGAAGCGAUUUAGCAUGAAAGAGAUGGCACAUAGGAAGAGAUGGCAUCACAGAUUCAGGUGAUGAGAGCUUCUGGGGAGCACGUGGUUCUCUGCUGCUGCCACGUGAAGAGAAGGGAUGUGAAACAGGAUUUUACUGAGUCUCUUGGAAGAUUCCAGCCGUAUUGCUAUUCUCAGCCCUGCCACUCAACCUCACCUCAACCCACCGUAUUAUAUUAUUUACAACCAUCCCAAGUUAGGCCGAGAGAACCUUGUUCCCCUUCACCGGAGAAUCAUGGCAGCCAAGCAGUGGACCCGGAUUUGACGGCAGAACUGGGAUUGGAACCCGGGGGAUCCUGAAGUCAAGUCGAGUGUCCUUCUGUCAUUCUGUAUCUCUGUUGUGGAUAGAAGCCUUCGGACGGUGGCAGCCUAAGUGGAAAAUCGUGCGCUUCAGAGCACAACAGACCCAAGCUGAAAUCUAUGGUCUAUACUAAACUAUGAGAAUGUAGGCAGGUCAUUUACCAACUCUGAAUUUUAUCAUACAAUAAACACAACACCUACUCUAAA